rnacentral:sRNA from 1 species
GCUAGGCACAGGGCCGCAUGCCUGUAAUCCCAGCAGCUUGGGAGGCUGAGGCAGGAGGAUCUCAAGUACAAAGCCAGCCUCAGCAACAUCAAGGUGCUAAGCAACUCAGUGAGACCCUGUCUCUA